AAGCUUUUGUGAAAAGAAUGAAUGUUCAAUGGUACAGCAUGUGGUGAUCGGUGGUCUGAUGGUUAAGGUGUCGGCCGCUCAAUCCGGAGUUCGAGGACUCGAGCCCAACUAGGGUCACGACAAGGCCUUUUCAAAUAACACCUGUACUGAUUGUUCCAGAUACAAUAGCCAACCAGAUGCACCAUGGGUAAAACACGGAAAAACCCAGUGAAAUCUGCACAGUGCAGUCCUGCAGUCAAGACUGCAAAGUCUUUGAAGGGGAAAUAUGAUACAGGAAGCCUGUCUCCAGGAAAAUGGGCAAGAAAACCUCGAUCAGACAAGCAGCUGUUUCUGCCUUGCAUGGACAGUCGCCGCCGGUGUAUAUGAGAGACCUACUAGAGGUGUACGUGCCAACUAGAAAUCUAAGGUCAGCAAGUUCAGCAACAACCACAAAAAAGUCGACUGGUUACCUACGGGGAUAGAAGUUUCAGAGUUGCUGCCGCAAAACUAUGGAACUCUCUCCCUGACAAUCUCAGAAAAGAUUCAUCACUUUAUUCAUUCAAAAGAGCUCUCAAAACACACCUUUUCAAAAUUUUCUACAAUACAUAGAUACCAACUGUGACUGUUCUACCCAUAAUAAAUAUGCCAUCGUUAUUUUUGUGAUACAGAACUACGGCAAGUCAUUCGUCACUGACGAAGGUCUCUUAACUGUACAAUUCAUCAUGUAAUUAACUAAAUUGACAAUUCAUCUUUUAUUUCAUCAUGUCACAUUUUAAGUGUUAUGACGUUCUAUGUGUGUGUUUUUUGCAAGACUUGAGUUUCACUUGAAGUGUGUGGUAUUUCUAUCUAAUACAGUAUAUGAUUGCACCAUUAACCGGGGGAUUGAACCUCUAUAUGCAGCCCGUCUGGGCGUACCAGGUGCUUAAAACACUGUUAUUGGCAAUAGGGGUAAAUCGCCUUCAAGGGCAGGGAUGCGGUUAUGGCUGUUUGUUACAGUAAGGCUGUAAAUAUUAUCAUUGUUCAUUGAUGAUAUUGUUGUAAUGACUAUUAUUUUUAUUAUGUACAUCGCCUUAUGAAAAAGGCGUUUAAUCAAAUUGUUCAGUUUCAGUUUUAUGAUUGCAUAUGUCAUGUUUUGUUAUUUUCCUACAUAUCUGCGAUAUGUCACAUGUUUAGUUGUAAAGCGCCUUUGAACGUAUAUUCCAUAUGAAAAGGGCGCUCAACAAAUCUGGUAUAAUAAUAAUAAUAAUAAUAAUAAUAAUAAUAAUGUCAUUUACAUACAUGUAGAUUAUUUCACUUAAGAUUAAUAAAAAUAUAACUAUAUUUUAUUUCAACUUUUCUUCAAGUAAAAAUGUUGUACACAUUAGAAAUAUAUAAAGUCUUCUUUACUCUUUACAAAAUAAUGUUGUUGUUUUUUCAUGUAACAACUGAACAAGAACCAACCAUCUAUAACAGAGCAGAAAGUGUUUGUAAAUCAUGCAGUAAUUAAAGGCUACCAUGUCUUCAAAAUAAAACAUCCACAAGUAAAUGAGCCUUUACUUACUGUUGAUAGAGAAUAUGGAAACAUUCAUGAUCAGUUAGUUUGAUUAGUUUGGCUUCCAAAUUUAGAUUGUUAUCCACAAGAACUUCAUGAAAUGCAGACUGAUGAAGCACGUCACCUGAAGUUAAGUAAUGUAGCAGGGCUUCCCAUAGGACAUGUACCAAGAGGUUUGGGUGGAUGUUUUUGUAAAAUUCUUGAUCAAAAUGACCACCUCUUUGCGAAAAUAACAGCAGAACCAACACAAAGUUUCCCUUCUUGACCGGCAUCCAGUAGAAAGGUGGCGAUGCAGUAAUACCUUGUACAUAUGUGAUCAAAACAAAACGUGUUGAUGAAACUGUUUCAGUUCUGAAAACUGCUAUACAGAACAUGAAAGAACGUUCAGUUCUGACUGUAACAGUUGGUUACUGAACAAGUCAUUUACAGUGCCCUCGACAUCAUAUUUUCAAAAGGUGAUAUUAUAUAGUAAUUAUUGAAAUGCUAUAUAGAAUACAUGUAUGUGCCAUUGUUUUGAUAUUAUUCUUUCCCUUGAUAGUCAGUAUUCACAUUUUUAUCAAGUUUCAGUUAUUGAAUUAUAUUAAAAAGUUACUGGGGGAAAUGUUCAUUUUUUUUAAUUGUCCCCAGAACUUUUGGAGAGCACUGUAUCUAUUUCUGUCAGUAUUUAGAGAUUGUUCACUUUAGUAUCUUUCAAAUAAUGUGUUUAUAAUUCCAGUAUGGUUGAACAAAUCAGGAUUAGUAUGUCAUGUGCUGAUAUUUUUAUUUUUAUACAUUUUAUUCAUAUGCUGAUCGAGGUACUGCUGUUUUUGUACAUAAAGUUUUACAUUUUAUCUCAUAUUAUGAUCUCUUUUUCAUAAUGCCAUAAUAUGCCAUAAUAUAUUUUUCUUCUUAAUAUAUGUGAUUAAUAUUUAAUAAACAAGAUAUAUGUC